GAUGAACGCUGGCGGUAUGCUUAACACAUGCAAGUCGAACGGACUCUUCGGAGUUAGUGGCGGACGGGUGAGUAACGCGUGAGAAUCUGGCUUUGGGUUCGGACAACCACUGGAAACGGUGGCUAAUACCGGAUGUGCCGAGAGGUAAAAGAGAAAUUGCCUGAAGAUGAGCUCGCGUCUGAUUAGCUAGUUGGUGAGGUAAAGGCUCACCAAGGCAGCGAUCAGUAGCUGGUCUGAGAGGAUGACCAGCCACACUGGGACUGAGACACGGCCCAGACUCCUACGGGAGGCAGCAGUGGGGAAUUUUCCGCAAUGGGCGAAAGCCUGACGGAGCAAUACCGCGUGAGGGAAGAAGGCUCUUGGGUUGUAAACCUCUUUUCUUAGGGAAGAACAAAAUGACGGUACCUAAGGAAUCAGCAUCGGCUAACUCCGUG
rnacentral:rRNA from 1 species